CAAUGUUGAAUACACUGUUAAUCUCAUUCUCAUCCACUGUGCAACAUUCUAGGUUGCUGUCGAGCACAUGGUCUUCCCUCUUCUGUUCAACAACUGUCUUCACCUGCUCCAACGGUUAAAGAUAAUUAUCAGUUAAAGAUUUGUUUUGAAAGAUACAAAUGGAAGAAGAAGAAGAAGAUGGGUUAUAAGCUUCUUCAAACUUACCCAUGUUACAAGCCUGGUUCCCUCCUCAAUAAAUGCUUCAUCUGUUGGCUUUUUCCCGGUUAGAAGUUCUAGUAAAACAACUCCAAAACUACUCUUUACCAGGAGCCAAGUAUCCAAAAGUUCCAGCUACAAAUGUUGAGACAUGAGUCUUAUCUGGUUCCAUCAAUGUUGCCAGUCCAAAGUCGGAUACUCGAGCCUCCAUGUUUUGAUCCAGCAAGAUAUUGCUC